rnacentral:lncRNA from 1 species
CUUCUCCUCAACCUCAUCCUCAACCUAACACAAAACCCAUUUUUUCCACUCUUUGUUUCACCACCACCACCAUUUCCUCCAAAACCAACAAAAAUUUCAAUCUUUUUCACAACCCAAACCCUCCAGUUUUGCUUCCAAUUAAAAGGGUAAAAGGGGUUGUUUGAUUUGCUUCCAAUUCACCAGAGCUUAGAGCUCCUUGCUGGAGCAGUGACAUAGACAAAAGAGACGGGAGGGAGCUAUUGGUUGAUUGUUUUUCGGAGUUCUAAGCUCCGGUAAUGAUGAAAGGAGGUGUUAAUUUACGAAAUGCUUGUUUGAUUUCUCCUUACUUGCGCUUUUUGUUAACCCUAAUGCUUUGUAAUGAUCCAUUUUUGUUGAUUAAUUUUCUUAGGGUUAAUUUUCGAGGUCUAUUUAUGUGUAUGUGUAUUCAUGGUGAAAAAGGAGAAAAUUGUGUGAUAUUGUGGAGGUUCCAUGGUCGUGACCCUGAGGUGGUGUUUAAUUUUGUUGUAAACAUGAAAAUCACUCAUUCGAAAAUUAUUUUUCGGAGCUCAAAGCUUCGGUAGUGAUGAACGGAGGUGUUACAGUAAUGGUAAAGCGGUGGUGAACUGUGGUGGAGCUCACUGGUGAAGACGAGAAGAAAGGUGGGAAAUAGUGAGGUUUUCAUAGUUAACAAGAGUUUGUGGCUGACUGGAGGUGGUUUUUUGAUGGUGGACGGAGAUAAUGGUGUUUUGGUGGUGGACGGAGAAGGAGAAGAGAGAGUGGUGAUAUGGAGAAGAGAGAGAUCAUUUUCUUUUUUUAAUUCUCAAUUCUUAAUUUUGAUUUUUUUAAUAUUUAAUAUCUUAUGUGGCAUUUUAAAAAUGAUGUAAAACUUAAUAUAGUAUUUAAAAUGAUGUGGCAGCUGAUGUGACGGCUGACGUGGGGAGAGUAUGUUACACUCACAAAAAAAAAAUGUUUAAGAUAUUGCUUUUUAGUGGGUUCAAGGGUCUAGAUGACAAACAUAUAAGCUGGAGUAUCCACAAUACAAAACGGACAUAGUACAAGGGUUCAUUGAGUCAUUUUGCCUUUUGAAAUAGAACGUAUUAUUAGAUGGCGUACAAUAUUAGGUAUUUUCAUUGGUCAUAAGCGGUAAAUAGUUGCCCGCACCUGUAUUCAUACCAAGCAAAUAAAUACAUUUACAUAUCUUUUAGCGCUUAAUCAUAAUUAAUUAAAAUGUGUUUUCACCUCAUAAAUUACUUCAACAAUAUAUUCAAUGAAAUUCGAAUGUGGGGAGGGUAAAGUUUAUUUACCUCUACUAUUUGGAGGUAAAGAUGUUUUCAAAAGAUCCUCGGCUUAACUGAAGCAAAUCAUAAUAGUAAUGAG